UACGGAGAGGGCAAGCGUUGUUCGGAUUUAUUGGGCGUAAAGCGAGCGUAGGCGGUAUGGUAAGUCGGAUGUUAAAGACCCACGGCUCACCCGGGGGAAUGCGUCCGAUACUGCCUUACUGGAGUGAGGGAGAGGGAAGUGGAAUUCCUGGUGUAGCGGUGAAAUGCGUAGAUAUCAGGAGGAACAUCUGUGGCGAAGGCGGCUUCCUGGCCCUUAACUGACGCUGAGGCUCGAAAGCGUGGGGAGCGAACGGGAUUAGAUACCCCGGUAGUCCACGCCGUAAACGUUGGAUACUAGGUGUUGGAGGUAUUCUACCCCUUCAGUGCCGCAGCUAACGCAUUAAGUAUCCCGCCUGGGGAGUACGACCGCAAGGUUGAA
rnacentral:rRNA from 1 species